AGUCCAGGAAGGAAAGAGGUUCGUUAGCAUUAAAUGAAAGGCUUGUCAUGGACCAGAGGAUCUGGAACAUCGGAUUACUCAUCUGGUGGCAGGUGGGUGUCGGAGCUGGCUGUGGACCCCACCGUCUGUAGCCAGUCCGCAGCAGCUUUCCUCUCUGGCAAACUCACAGCAAGCAUGCAGGGUGAUAAAACGGCAGUGACAAAUCCAGUGCAAUCAGGUGGGAAAUCCCCCCUGAGUAAUAACACCUCCUCAUCGCUCAUCCCGACCUCUUCCCCUGAGCCCCGCGUCUGCCGCUGAGAACUCAGCGCUGUUUUACCUUCAGCCCUGAGCUCCGCACAGGAAAAAGAAGAGAAAAGUGAGACACGGGAGUCUGGAGGAUCUCAAUCAAUGGUCAGAAAGGAGUACCCAGAAUGUCUACUGAUUGCCUCACUCCACGCAGAAUAUGCAACAUUCAUCCUUUCUCUAUCGCACCCUCCCUGCAUCUCCCAUCAUUCUUGACUCAGAGAAGAAGGCGUCAAGCAUCCUUUCAAGUACCUUCCCCAGGGUUGUCAUCAACUUAACUCCUCUUCAGUUUCCACUGCUACUAGUAAAGUAAUCAUGAUUUACGAAGAAUCCAUGGAAAAAUUUUGCAUCUAUUAAUUAUCUGACUUAAUCUUUACCAGAUCGUUAUUAAGCAAGAAUUACUAUUACCCUGAUUUUCACAGAUGAGGAAAUUGAGGAUAAGGAAAUUUAGGAACCUGCCUAGAGUUACACAACAAGGAAGUUGCAGAGGGGAGGGUUUUUGCCAAGGUUUCUAUGAUUCCAAUGUUAUCACUUUUCUAAUGCAUCUGCUGACCGAGACUGAAGAAUCAACUACCUCCUCCAGAAGGUCAGUUACCCAAGAAAUCUCUGGGACUGAGGAGAACGGGGGAACAGGAGACAGAUCGGAGAGGCUGGGACAUGGAGAUUUGCUUCAUAUGCAAAGAACUCAUCUCCUAGAAUUUUGCAGCAUCUUCCAGAGUCUAAGCUUGUGUUUUGACGUGCCCUUUCCAAGACAAGGGGAUACGUGAAGCUCAGUGAAUCAGGAGCGUUUACGGAGGAGAAAGAAAAUAAGAUCUUCUCCCCAGCUAAAAAUCCAGGCAUUGUCCUUGGCUGGAAAACCUCUCUUGGAUUGUAUGGACAGACUGAAAAUACAUCUUAGCAUCCAAACAUAGACAGCCAGGGCAUGGACUCAGGCUUGAUGCCCAAAGAGAUCCUCAUCAUCAUACCUUAGAAGUACCACAUCCUUUGUUCUUCCUGGCUAAACCCCUUCAGCCAACAUCCCUGCCUGCAGGGUAAGCAAUUUACUUACAGUUAAACUGCUAAUAAGUAGGGAAUCAUGGAUCAAUCAGAAACACUAAAUAUUUCAAAAUAUUUAGGGUCAAUAUUUCAAAAAACAUUGCAACAUUUGUACAUUUACCUGCUACAAGUUUGCAUGGGCAGGAACCAUAUCAAGUCCAUUAAAAUUCCUGAUUUCCUUAUGUCUAGCAAAAUCUUUGAUCACUAGUUAUGUAUAUUUCAGUUAAUAAAAAUGAAGAGCAUGAGUACUCUUCCAUAAGAAAUGCAGCGUGUUGGGAUAUACAGAAUUUUGCAAAACAGAGUAGAAUGGGGAUGGUUAUCAUAACACAGUGGGCCCAUCAGUGUAGUGGAGUUCAACAUUUUUGAUUCCUUCCAAAUUUCCAGAUUUCAUCUUUGAUGUUGGGAAUGUAAAGACUGAUAUAGCACAAUCAUGGUCCUCCAGAAAUGUAUCAGAUUGUUGGGGAAACAAAUAGAUGCAGAAAUAGUUAUCUGCGUGAUACAGCAAAUACAAACAUGUGCAAGAUGCUCCAAGGAUGUAGAAAGAGAAGCCCUGGUUGGGCUUGUGUGGAGGAGAUGUGGGAAAGGGGGCUUUCUCAAGGAAGCGAUGUCUGAACUCAGACGUGAAGGAACAGCAGAGCUUACCCUCCCCACAGGAGGUUGUACUGUACAGCAUGAGCAAAGAAAGGAGGAAGGUGUAAAGACAUUACCUUUGGUGCAAAGAUUGGCAUAGCUGUCCCACAACCUAUUUGAAUUAACAUUUGUCAAUGAGACACCAACAUCAAAUGCUAUCACUGACAUGUGGAAUCUAAAAAAAGGACACAAUGAACUUCUUUGCAGAACAGAUACUGACUCACAGACUUUGAAAAACUUACGGUUUCCAAAUGAGACAGGUUAGCGGGUGGGGGGAUGCACUGAGGGUUUGGGAUGGAAAUGCUGUAAAAUUUGGUUGUGAUGAUUGUUGUACACCUAUAAAUGUAAUAAAAUUCA